GGUCCCGUAGUGUAGCGAUUAACACGCCUCUCUGUCACAGAGGAGACCGCGGGUUUGAUUCCCGUCGGGACCGCCA
rnacentral:tRNA from 1 species